rnacentral:rRNA from 1 species
UGGGGUCUCGCACGGGGCCCUAUUGUAUUCCUGAGUCUGGCCAAACCUUGUAAGCGUACACUGCAACCAGUUAGACGAUCAGCAGUGGGCACAGUGGUUGGAGUCAGCCAGCAAUGGUCGGCUCCUUCUACGAAGCAAUUGUUUGUAUGGGUUAGUAGUAGUGCGGUUGUGCUUCGGUGCUUCUCGUGUUGCUGGGCCCAUGCGAGUGAACUACAGCUGAAUACUGACUGGCGAAAUGAAAAUCACCUACGGGUGUUAGAGACAAAGCAGCUAGCCAGACGUGGGCCUACACGGUCGACUGUUAGGUCUAAGCUUGGCGCUUUUGAAUUCAGACUUGCUUGCUACCAGUGGGGCAACUCCUGGUGCUUGUAUAGCUUCUGUCUAAUCGGGCGUCGACUUGGCUUGGCAUCGUUCGGUCGUGCUACGAUAGGGUUUGCGUCUGAGUUGGUUCGCAAUGCGAAU